UGGGGAAUAUUACACAAUGGAGGAAACUCUGAUGUAGCAACGCCGCGUGGAGGAUGACACAUUUCGGUGCGUAAACUCCUUUUAUAUGGGAAGAUAAUGACGGUACCAUAUGAAUAAGCACCGGCUAACUCCGUGCCAGCAGCCGCGGUAAUACGGAGGGUGCAAGCGUUACUCGGAAUCACUGGGCGUAAAGCGCGCGCAGGCGGUCUUUUAAGUUGGAUGUGAAAUCCUAUGGCUCAACCAUAGAACUGCAUCCAAAACUGAAAGCUAGAGUCUGGGAGGGGAAGAUGGAAUUAGUGGUNUAGGGGUAAAAUCCGUAGAGAUCACUAGGAAUCCAAAAGCGAAGGCGAUCUUCUGGAACAGUACUGACGCUGAGGCGCGAAAGCGUGGGGAGCAAACA
rnacentral:rRNA from 1 species